UACAGAGGUCUCAAGCGUUGUUCGGAAUCACUGGGCGUAAAGGGUGCGUAGGCCGCACGGUAAGUCAGAGGUGAAAUCCCGGAGCUUAACUCCGAAACUGCAUUCGAUACUGCCGUGCUUGAGGACUGGAGAGGAGACUGGAAUUUACGGUGUAGCGGUGAAAUGCGUAGAUAUCGUAAGGAAGACCAGUGGCGAAGGCGGGUCUCUGGACAGUUCCUGACGCUGAGGCACGAAGGUCAGGGGAGCAAACGGG
rnacentral:rRNA from 1 species